rnacentral:lncRNA from 1 species
CCCAACUGACCCCCACCCACUCUGACCAAAACCCUUCUAACCCCAACCUUAAAACCAAGCCUUAACCUUCAAACAAUCCAAAAUGUCCUCACUUUGCUUGUAGAAUGUGGACUUUGGCACCCACCCACACACACACAAACAUGCACACACGCAGUAAUCACUAACACUUGCACCCAUUGAGAGUACUCAUAAACACGUGCACACACAUCUGAACAUGCUCAGACACAAGUUUUCUCUCUGUAUCUGUCACACACACACUCACACACACACACACACACACACACACACUCACACACAGGCACGGACAGACGCAUGUGGAGGAGCUCCUGUUUUCCCACCGGUUGAAGCUUGUGGGAAAAUCCUCGCUGUUUUAAAAGCUACAUAAACCAGAGAAGAGACGGCACAACGGCAGCACGACGGCAGCACGACGUUUUAUAAGCUACAUAAGCCAGAGAGAAGGCAUAGCACAACGACAUCACGACGGCAGCACAACGGUA